GUCUGUUUGUAGUUGUAGAGAGUUUAACCUGCCCAUUGAUAAAAAUUUAAAGGCCGCGGUAAUUUGACCGUGCAAAGGUAGCAUAGUAAUUAGUUUCUUAAUUGGGAUCUUGUAUGAAUGGUUGGACAAGAAAAAAUCUGUCUUUAUAUUUAUUAUUGAAUUUAACUUUUGAGUGAAAAGGCUUAAAUGAAUUAAAGGGACGAUAAGACCCUAUAAAACUUUAUAUUGUUUAUUAUAUAGUUGAAUUUUAUGGAAUAAAAGCUUAAUAAUAGGAUUUAUUAUAUUGGGGUGAUAAAGGUAAAAUUUUUGAUAACUGCUUAAUUUUUAAAAACAAAAAUAAAUGAAGUGUAAAAUGAUCCUAAUUAAAGAUUAAAAGUUUAAGUUACUUUAGGGAUAACAGCGUUAUUUUUUUUGAGAGUUCAUAUCGAAAAAAAAGUUUGCGACCUCGAUGUUGAAUUAAAAUUUCUAUAUAAUUGCAGCAGUUAUAUAAGAAGGUCUGUUCGACCUUUAAAUUUUUACAUGAUUUGAGUUCAAACCGGCGUGAG
rnacentral:rRNA from 1 species